AUAGGAGUCAAAUAUGACUCGAUGUCAUGUGUAUGAGUGAGUAUAACAACUAGAACCGCAACCGGAUCUUAAAAGCCUAAGUAUUGUAUCCUUGUUAGAAGAUAUAAAGACAAAUACUCAUACGGAUUCCGCUACACCAUCAAAGCUUUGAGAACCAAGAAGAAGAUUGGUUAGUGUUUUGGAGUAAAAUAUGACUAGAUGCCAUGUGUAUGAUUGAGUAUAAGAACUUAAACCGCAACCGGAUCUUCAAAGCCUAAAUAGUGUUUCCUUGUUAGAAGAUACAAAGCCAAAGCAUCAUACGGACUUUUGCUACACCAUCAAAGCUUGGAGAAGCAAGAAGAAGAUUGGUUAGUGUUUUGGAGUGAAAGAUGACUAGAUGUCAUGUGUAUUAUUGAGUAUAAGAACUUAAACCGCAACCGGAUCUUCAAAGCCUAAAUUGUGUUUCCUUGUUAGAAGAUACAAAGCCAAAGCCUCAUACGGACUUUUGCUACACCAUCAAAGCUUGGAGAAGCAAGAAUAAGCUUGGUUAGUGUUUUGGAGUCAAAUAUUACUAGAUGUUAUCUGUAUGAGUGAGUAUGACAACUUCAACCACAACCGGAUCUUAAAAGCCUAAGUAUUGAAUAUUUGUUAGAAGAUAGGAAGAAAAAGACUCACAC
rnacentral:sRNA from 1 species